GUGGCUAGGUGCCUACUCCUGGCGGAGGAUCUCCCUGCAGUGUAGAUUCUGACUCAGGGGACCACGGGUGGGGCCAGAAACCCUACAGGACACCCUGAGGCCAGGCCAGCUGCAGGAGUGGGCAGAGGGUGCUGCUGUCAGCACACUUUGUCUCACGUGACUCACUGUGCUCCAGACACCCCAAGUCAUCUUCUCCCGGCAACUUCAGCAUUUUAAAGAUAUUACUGAGCACCUGCAGGCACUCCAUAAAGAAAAACUCCGAUCUGUGCUUCCUCCGGCCGCCAGGGUGCAGGUGGAGGGACGGACGUGCACCCCG